rnacentral:rRNA from 1 species
UACGAGGGGGGCAAGCGUUGUUCGGAAUUACUGGGCGUAAAGCGCGCGUAGGCGGCUUUGUAAGUUAGAGGUGAAAGCCCGGGGCUCAACUCCGGAACUGCCUUUAAGACUGCAUCGCUUGAAUCCGGGAGAGGUGAGUGGAAUUCCGAGUGUAGAGGUGAAAUUCGUAGAUAUUCGGAAGAACACCAGUGGCGAAGGCGGCUCACUGGACCGGUAUUGACGCUGAGGUGCGAAAGCGUGGGGAGCAAACAGG